GCAUCUGUUACUUGACAGCCACUGUCUCCACGAGUGGUGUCACAAGAUUCUGAGGCUGGCUGCUCUGCACCACCCGCAUGCCCAUGACCGUGGCAAGCAGCUCGUGAGUCAGGUGACAGAAGCAAAACAGGAUUUAAAGGCCCAUUGUUCGACCACAUUACAUGGCACAAUCCAGAGCCAUGGCACCAAGGGCUUCAGCAGCACCAGAUCCCCAGGAGACACUGAGCUGGCACAGAAGUACAUAGAGCCAGAUGGGAAAAUGAGGUGGGAAACACCAAAAUCCCUGCUCCACACCUUGUGAGGACAAAGCAGGCACCAACGGCUGCUCUGGGUGCUCAGCAGAGCCCAGCGCUUGUGCUGCCUUCUGGAGACCCCAGUCACACAGCGUGUGGCACUGCAUCCUUCAGAGCAGCAGAAAAAAGACAGGAGAGCAGAGGAAGUAAAUCUGCUACCAACUUGGAUCUUGCAAGGACUCUGCACUGGCCGGGCUCAGGACAGGACACUGCUUCCAGUUGAUCUCUGCUCUGCCGGACGUGUUCGAUCCAAGCUCAGUUUACAGCUCACUACACUUGAGGGUGUGUUUGAGCCACUCUUUGCUGAGGAGUUUUUUCCAGUUCCACCACACUGACUCAAGGCACAACGCACAGCACUGCAUCACCUGCCCCAUGAAGCCCACCACCCCAUCAGGAUUUGCGAGAUAAAACAAGCCAGAAGUCGCAUGCCAACUGCACCGCGCAUUGAGGCAGAUGUGCAGGGGGGAAGGUAAAGCAAGACAGCAAUGUUAAUAGAAAAGAUGGAAACAGAGCAGUGAGCGGUGCAAUGCCCGCAUUUGGGAUGGGACCAGCAGCAAGCCUUCUGCUCGGCACAACUUUCCUCCUGUCGCCUGACUGCAGCUAAGCACUGGUGUGAGCUCCUACCUAGCAGAUAGGAAACAAUGUAAAAUCUCAAGCAGGAGAUUAUCUGUACAGCAGCAGGAAUCACAAUGAAACCUGAUCUGAAAGCAGUGCAAUAACAGGGAUGGAAGCACCAAAAAAAACCAAAACCAAAAAAACACAAGACAGACAGCCUGUUCUUUCCAAAGCAGAUGCUGCUUUUUGAAAAGCUAAGGUAAUCAUUCCUGAUUUAGGGAAUCAGGCUGGAGUGUAGCUUGAUUUCUUUACAAAAAGACUCUGAAGGUCCUAUCAGCACUUCUGUGAUUUUAUUCCUAGUGUCCCUGAUCGCAGAACAGAAGUUUGGGAUAAACCAAUUGCAUUAAACAAGGACAGAAUUUCUUGGGAGCAGAGUACACUGCCACAGCCACUCAUCUUCCUCAGUGAUCACAUGGAUGGAGUUUUAGGGGAAUAGACAUCUCAAAAAUUCCAAGCAAAUUCGUGUUUAGAAUCGCUGCCUUCCACACAUGUGGGCAUUCCCUGGGCACCAGCUCACAUCUGCUCAGGCUCUUUGUGCCCACAGAUAGACCUGAGGGCCCGUCCACCUCUCCGCGCACCUACACAGCCCUGGGUACUGGCACAGGAUGCUGGGGAGGCAGCACAGAGUGGCCCUGUCCUGCCAUGGGGCUCCAGUGAGGACACUCCACAACUGGAAAGGAAACAAAGAAACAAGCCCCCAAAGUUUUAAUUUUUGUCUCUUCUGUUUCAAUUAGCAUGCAGCAUCUGACGCCGUGGCACAGGGAGCUAAAAAUGUGUGCGUGGAUAUGUCAUCCAUGAACAAACUGGCUUGUGUUUGCUCUUUAUUAUUUAGGAAAUGCACAUUAAUUACUGCAGAUUUUCUCCUAUACAUCUACUGUAUCUCAGACAGAAUUGCUGAGAAGGGUCUGCAGAACAAAAAUGUAUGGGGUAAUUAAAUGGAUAUUUAUAAUUAGAACUUAAUAAUUUGCAUCAGGGACAAAUGAGCUCUGAUUUCAAUCUGUAGUGCAU